GGCUGGGGCUGGAAAGUGACAGGGCUGAAGAGUGGACACCAAAGUCCCAGAUAAAGGUUAUGUAUUCUAUCUGCACACAUCACAUCAUCCAAGUAUGGAAGGCCCUUCCCAGAUUCUCAAUCUGAAGGACCUGAGGUCUCCUAGCAUGGUGAGAACCUGCCUUGUCCUGAAGCCAAGAGCAUCGCUCAGAGCCAGAUGGAUGAAGCUCACCUGGGAGCCAGGACUGUGGGAGGUCAAUAGAGGAUGGGAAGACUGAGGGAGUGUAGGGAAGUGGAUAUGGGCAGAGCUUCUUUGUGAGCUAAAUAGUAACUUGAAAAGAAUAGCAGGAAUAAAGUUUUGCACCAU
rnacentral:lncRNA from 1 species